rnacentral:rRNA from 1 species
UACAUGGGGUGCAAACGUUGCUCGGAAUUAUUGGGCGUAAAGCGCGCGUAGGCGGUUACUCAAGUCGGAUGUGAAAGCCCUCGGCUUAACUGAGGAAGUGCACCCGAAACUGAGUAGCUAGAGUACCAAAGAGGGUCGCGGAAUUCCCGGUGUAGAGGUGAAAUUCGUAGAUAUCAGGAGGAACACCGGUGGCGAAGGCGGCGACCUGGGUGGAUACUGACGCUGAGGAGCGAAAGCGUGGGGAGCGAACAGG